rnacentral:rRNA from 1 species
CGUUUUAUGUAACUAAUAUAAAAUUAAAUCUGCCCAGUGAAAUUUAAACGGCCGCAGUACUUUGACUGUGCUAAGGUAGCAUAAUAAAUUGGCUUUUAAUUGGAGUCUUGUAUGAAAGAAUUCAUGGAUAAUUUCUGUCUUUAUAUAAAUUUUUAAAAAUUACUUUUAAGGUGAAAAUACCUUUAAAUAUUUAAUAGACGAGAAGACCCUAGGAGUUACUGUUUUUGUUGGGGCGACAUUUCUUCAUUUAACAUGAAUAAUCUUUUUUUGUAAAUUAAACGAUUAUUAUAAUUUUAAUUUAACUACCCUAGGGAUAACAGCAUAAUUUAUUUUUAAGUUUAUGACCUCGAUGUUGGAUUAGGAAAGUUUAAGGUUAAUAAUUUUAAUUCUAUGUUCUGUUCGAACAAAAAUUCCU